rnacentral:rRNA from 1 species
CCUACGGGUGGCAGCAGUGAGGAAUAUUGGUCAAUGGGCGCGAGCCUGAACCAGCCAAGUAGCGUGAAGGAUGACUGCCCUACGGGUUGUAAACUUUUUUUAUAAAGGAAUAAAGUGAGGCACGUGUGCCUUUUUGUCUGUACUUUUUGAAUACGGAUCGGCUAACUCCGUGCCAGCAGCCGCGGUAAUACGGAGUAUCCGAGCGUUAUCCGGUUUUAUUGGGUUUAACGGGUGCGUAGGCGGAUCGUUACGUCAGUGUUAAAAUUGAGGGGUUCAACCCCUUCCCGCCAUUGAAACUGGCGUUCUUGAGUGGAAGAGAAGUAUGCGGAAGGCGUGGUGUAGCGGUGAAAUGCGUAGAUAUCACGCAGAACCCCGAUGGCGAAGGCAGCAUGCCGGCUUCCGACUGACGCUGAAGCACGAAAGCGUGGGGAGCGAACAGGAUUAGAUACCCUUGUAGUC